GCGCCCGUAGCUCAGGUGGACAGAGCAAUUGCCUUCUAAGCAAUGGGCCCGGGGUUCGAGUCCCUGCGGGCGUGCCA
rnacentral:tRNA from 1 species